GCUGAUGGAGGUUGCAAUGCAUUUUCAGGGAAUCCUGAGGAUAUGUUUAUAGCUUGUAACAGAGCACAAGGUGAGCAGCCCAGAAUACGGUCCUAAGAAAAAGGUGGUUCAUGGAAUAUGUUUCAAAGCUGUGGAUGAACACUAAGAUGUCACCAUUCUUCUCUGGAUGUUUUUUCCACAAAGAAAUUAUAAUAUGAGCAUUUCUGUUGAAUGAGUUGAAAUCUAAGGAAGAUGUUAUGAAGCUACCACUAUACCCAUGGUUUUGUCUUUGCAAGAUUCUACUGACAGCUGGAAGAAUGGAAACUGAAUAGAGGAAUGGAAGAGCUCCUGCCCACACAGAUCUUUUUCAGACCUUCAUUUCCCAGAAAGGAUGAACUACAAGCGAAGAAGAAUACAAAAAAGUGCCCAGAUCCAUGUUGAAGUGCCAAGGGAGAAUCCUCCAGGGGAAGUGCAGACAUGCUGUGAGAAUGCCUUCCUUUCCUUCCUUCCUUCCUUCCUUCCUUCCUUCCUUC